rnacentral:misc_RNA from 1 species
AAAAUUCAUACUUUUAACUAAUUAAGCCGAAACCAAGAGUGCUCCAUAUUUUCAUGUAGCCUAAACAAUUAGAAGCGAAUUAAAAAAAAUAAAACUGUUUUGCUAGUUUAAAAUGGCAUUAGAGUGAGAGAAACAACAAAACAAAAGAAGAGAGAAGAAGGAAGAGAGAAAAGAAGGAAAAAAAAGAAGAAGGAGAAAACGAGAUGGUGCAGGUGUUGUCCUUGUCUGUUGUGUUGGGAGAAAUAGAAGAGGAGAAGAGAA